rnacentral:rRNA from 1 species
CCUACGGGGAGCAGCAGUGGGGAAUAUUGCACAAUGGGGGAAACCCUGAUGCAGCGACGCCGCGUGAGUGAAGAAGUAAUUCGUUAUGUAAAGCUCUAUCAGCAGGGAAGAAAAUGACGGUACCUGAGUAAGAAGCCCCGGCUAACUACGUGCCAGCAGCCGCGGUAAUACGUAGGGGGCAAGCGUUAUCCGGAUUUACUGGGGGUAAAGGGAGCUGGGACGGCAGUGCAAGUUUGGAGUGAAAGGCGGGGGCGCAACCCCCGGACUGCUCUGGAAACUGUACGGCUGGAGUGCAGGAGAGGUAAGUGGAAUUCCUAGUGUAGCGGUGAAAUGCGUAGAUAUUAGGAGGAACACCAGUGGCGAAGGCGGCUUACUGGACUGUAACUGACGUUGAGGCUCGAAAGCGUGGGGAGCAAACAGGAUUAGAUACCCUGGUAGUC